rnacentral:tRNA from 1 species
GAGGGUAUAGCUCAUGGUAGAGCAUGUGCUUAGCAUGUGAGAGGUCCUAGGUUCAAUUCCCAGUACCUCUC